AUCUUUAAUUAUUCCGACUUUUCGGUGUCUAAGGCAAGCGAAAGCUUACCUGGCCGAUUAAGGUUUGGUGUCUAAGCGCGGAGAUUGGCCUCUUGGCAAUGCCUGCUCCAAACUGGCCAAACCGGUCCGAAUAAUUUUGGAUUUAUCGAGUUUUUGGUGGUCCUUAACGUUAGGAGCAAGGUCUAGUUCAUUUUUUUUAGGGAACCCUAGAUUUAGGUUUUUCUUUCUCUUUUACACCCUUUCUUUUGUGUGUUUUAAUUUUU
rnacentral:lncRNA from 1 species